ACACAUACAAAACAAACAUGUAUAAAGUAAACGUGCCAACAAGGGGCUCAGAAGUAAAUAAACAAAAGAAAACAAAUGCCUCCUAUCGAGGUCUUCCAGCUAAGAAAGCGAUAAAAUGCGGAGAAAAGGUAAAAGUACCACACGGAUGAAGAUCCGAAGUAACAACAAUUAAAGGAGUAAGAAACCCAGGGACCUCCCAAGCUAAUGCCAUCAAAGAAAAGUGAGUCAGUACAGGUAAUCGGAAUGAAACCUCCAGGGGUUAUCCCACAAAUAAAGUGGGAAACCACGCAAGUUAUCCCUGCAAAAGUCAUGUGCCUUCACAAAAACUCAACAAAAGGGUUAGUG
rnacentral:lncRNA from 1 species